GCGGUGCAAAACAGAUUACAAACACAAUGGACAAUUGAACCGUCAUAUUCACGAACGUAUUGAAAACGUUGUUUGGAUCUUAACAAUUUGGAGGAGUACACUGCAUGAACUGACAGUCAAACAACUUUCUUUGGUGUAUUUCCGGUUUCAUCCCUCCCCCAAUUAAAGAUUCCAUCAUGUGUGUUGAUAUUCAAACCUACCGAGCUCGAAUAGGAACGAACAAGUUUGCAUUUGGCUCCGAUGUUGUAACUUCAAGUAUAUCAGUCAACUUUAGCCUUUUCUUGAAAAGCACGACGAUUUCUCUAUUCGUGAUUGUUAUGUGCCUUGUGGUGAGGUCAGGCGCCUACGAUUUCAGUCUUACAGAUGCCGUUGAUGUAGCUAACCAGAAGAAGGCAGAACAGACUUUGGAGUUGCAAUUGCCAGGUAUUGAUGCAGUCCGAUAUAUACCUGCCAUUUUGGAUCCUUUGUGGAACAGUAUGGUUUUAAAACAGAGAGUUUAAGGGUUGACGGGAGCCCUUUUAUUUAUUGGUUUACUCUUACUGAGAGCGGGAAUAGAACCAAACCCAGGCCCUAAACCAGAAUUCCCUACGGUGAUUGCACUUACGGACAAGCUGAAACUGACAGUUUAGUGUGGCAAGUUGCAUGAAGUAUAGAACGCGUGCUUGUUAGUGGAUAAUGGAUUUGUUACGCAAAAUCAAAAUCUUUUAAGGGUCACUUUUCCAGUUUGGGAUGAGUAUAAACCAUAUUCGGCGGUAAGUAUAGACCAAAAUGACACAUUAUAAGAAUUAGGUGAUAUGUCUUUGUUUCCAUGCAAGAUAAAAAAAAUCACCGACUGAAAACAAAAAAGUGGGGCUUUUUUACCGAUUUCAACGACCAGUAUGCAAUGACUUUGUUUACUUGUUGUUUUUUGUUCGUUCGCCCUAAUAAUGAAACAAAUCGAUGACUAUGACAUCAUCCUCUAGUUGCAUAUUGAAUGACAGAUUAAAUGAAUGUAU